rnacentral:rRNA from 1 species
AGGUUAAGCUAGAAAGGGCGCACGGUGGAUGCCUUGGCACUAGGAGCCGAUGAAGGACGGGGCAAACGCCGAAAC